CAGGCUGGGAAAGGAGCUGGAAUGUUUCAUUACUUGCAGCAGAUUGGCAGAAAAAAUGCUGAUGAAAUUCUACUGUUCUCCUUUCCAGAUGCUGCUCUGGGAUACGUUCCUUGUUUUAUUCGUGUUCCCGACUUGCAAAAAUCUUACACCGUUCACAACAAGUAUUAUAAAGAGUCCUGCGAGAAAUUUUGACGGAAUGUGUCCAAAUUGACCACUGCUGUCCCAGCCCUGCCAAUUUACAAAUACAGGGAGAGAUUCUGA